rnacentral:rRNA from 1 species
GAUGAACGCUGGCGGCGUGCUUAACACAUGCAAGUCGAACGAUGAAGCCCAGCUUGCUGGGUGGAUUAGUGGCGAACGGGUGAGUAACACGCGAGUAACCUGCCCUUGACUCUGGGAUAAGCCUGGGAAACUGGGUCUAAUACCGGAUACGACCAUUGCCCGCAUGGGUUGGUGGUGGAAAGCUUGCGUCGUUUUGGAUGGACUUGCGGCCUAUCACUUUGUUGGUGAGGUAAUGGAUCACCAAGGCGACGACGGGUAACCGGCCCGAGACGGUGACCGGACACAAGGGGACUGAGACACGGCGCAGAGUCGUACGGGAGGCAGAAGGAGGAAAAAGUACACAGAGGGCGGAAGUCGGAGGUAGCGACGGUGAGUGUGGGAUACCGGUUGUCGGGGUGUAAACCGCUGUCAGAAGUGAAGAAGCGAGAGUGACGGUACCUGAAGAAGAAGCGCCGGCUAACUACGUG